rnacentral:rRNA from 1 species
CACACGACCGUACCGCAAACCGACACUGGUGCGCGAGAUGAGUAUUCUAAGGCGCUUGAGAGAACUCAGGAGAAGGAACUCGGCAAAUUGACACCGUAACUUCGGAAGAAGGUGUGCCUUUAGUAGGUGAACCAUUUACUUGGGGAGCCCAAUGAGGCUGCAAAAAAUCGGUGGCUGCAACUGUUUAUUAAAAACACAGCACUCUGCUAAGACGAAAGUCGACGUAUAGGGUGUGACGCCUGCCCGGUGCUGGAAGAUUAAAUGAUGGGGUGCAAGCUCUUGAUUGAAGUCCCAGUAAACGGCGGCCGUAACGAUAACGGUCCUAAGGUAGCGAAAUUCCUUGUCGGGUAAGUUCCGACCUGCACGAAUGGCGUAAUGAUGGCCACACUGUCUCCUCCUGAGACUCAGCGAAGUUGAAAUGUUUGUGAUGAUGCAAUCUCCCCGCGGAAAGACGGAAAGACCCCAUGAACCUUUACUGUAGCUUUGUAUUGGACUUUGAACAGAUCUGUGUAGGAUAGGUGGGAGGCUUUGAAGUGUGGUCGCUAGAUCGCAUGGAGCCAACGUUGAAAUACCACCCUGGUGUGUUUGAGGUUCUAACCUAGGUCCAUUAUCUGGAUCGGGGACAGUGCAUGGUAGGCAGUUUGACUGGGGCGGUCUCCUCCCAAAGUGUAACGGAGGAGUUCGAAGGUACGCUAGGUACGGUCGGACAUCGUGCUAAUAGUGCAAUGGCAUAAGCGUGCUUAACUGCGAGACUGACAAGUCGAGCAGAUGCGAAAGCAGGACAUAGUGAUCCGGUGGUUCUGUAUGGAAGGGCCAUCGCUCAACGGAUAAAAGGUACUCUGGGGAUAACAGGCUGAUACCGCCCAAGAGUUCAUAUCGACGGCGGUGUUUGGCACCUCGAUGUCGGCUCAUCUCAUCCUGGGGCUGUAGCCGGUCCCAAGGGUAUGGCUGUUCGCCAUUUAAAGAGGUACGUGAGCUGGGUUUAAAACGUCGUGAGACAGUUUGGUCCCUAUCUUCCGUGGGCGCUGCAGAUUUGAGGAAGCCUGCUCCUAGUACGAGAGGACCGGAGUGGACGAACCUCUGGUGUAUCGGUUGUCACGCCAGUGGCAUUGCCGAGUAGCUAAGUUCGGAAGAGAUAACCGCUGAAAGCAUCUAAGCGGGAAACUCGCUUCAAGAUUAGAUCUGCCGGGGCCUUGAGCCCCCUAAAGAGUCGUUCAAGACCAGGACGUUGAUAGGUCAGGUGUGGAAGUG